rnacentral:rRNA from 7 species
GUGGACGCCAGUCUGCAUGGAGCCGACCUUGAAAUACCACCCUUUAAUGUUUGAUGUUCUAACGUGGACCCGUGAUCCGGGUUGCGGACAGUGUCUGGUGGGUAGUUUGACUGGGGCGGUCUCCUCCUAAAGAGUAACGGAGGAGCACGAAGGUUGGCUAAUCCUGGUCGGACAUCAGGAGGUUAGUGCAAUGGCAUAAGCCAGCUUGACUGCGAGCGUGACGGCGCGAGCAGGUGCGAAAGCAGGUCAUAGUGAUCCGGUGGUUCUGAAUGGAAGGGCCAUCGCUCAACGGAUAAAAGGUACUCCGGGGAUAACAGGCUGAUACCGCCCAAGAGUUCAUAUCGACGGCGGUGUUUGGCACCUCGAUGUCGGCUCAUCACAUCCUGGGGCUGAAGUAGGUCCCAAGGGUAUGGCUGUUCGCCAUUUAAAGUGGUACGCGAGCUGGGUUUAGAACGUCGUGAGACAGUUCGGUCCCUAUCUGCCGUGGGCGCUGGAGAACUGAGGGGGGCUGCUCCUAGUACGAGAGGACCGGAGUGGACGCAUCACUGGUGUUCGGGUUGUCAUGCCAAUGGCACUGCCCGGUAGCUAAAUGCGGAAGAGAUAAGUGCUGAAAGCAUCUAAGCACGAAACUUGCCCCGAGAUGAGUUCUCCCUGAGACUUAGAGUCUCCUGAAGGAACGUUGAAGACGACGACGUUGAUAGGCCGGGUGUGUAAGCGCAGCGAUGCGUUGAGCUAACCGGUACUAAUGAACCGUGAGGCUUAACCUUACAACGCCGAAG